rnacentral:rRNA from 1 species
UCUGCCCCCCGGCCGGGAUAGCCCAGGGAAACCUGGAUUAAUACCGGAUGAGACGGGACCCGCGAUGGCGGGAUCCGGGAAAGGCGACUGCGGCGCCGCCGGGGGAUGAGUCUGCGUCCCAUUAGCGUAGACGGCGGGGUAACGGCCCACCGUGGCGACGAUGGGUAGCCGGCCUGAGAGGGUGACGGCCACAUUGGAACUGAGACACGGUCCAGACUCCUACGGGAGGCAGCAGCUAAGAAUCUUCCGCAAUGGGCGAAAGCCUGACGGAGCGAACCGCCGCGUGAACGGAGAAGGCCGUGAGGUUGUAAAGUUCUUUUCGGGAGGGGGAACAACCGUGGCAGGGAAUGGCCGCGGGAUGACGUGAAUCCCGGAAUAAGCCCCGGCUAACUACGUGCCAGCAGCGGC